UGGUGUGGAGUACCAUCUAAAUCCAACCAUUGAUAUCAAAGGGUAUUAUGGAGAUUUCACGGUACCCUGUCCGGGGUACCAUAAAAGAGCUCGCAAAAUAUGAGGCUUUUGCCCGCCUUUGUACAAGCUAAAGCAUACCAAAUGAAUAGUUGGUAAAGCUAGAAUCAUGCAAACAAAUUGACUCGUAGGAGGAAAUAGAAUUUUGCUAAAAGUAUCACCUUGUCACUUUGUCAGAACCUUUUCAAGGAAAACUGGUGUUUUCACUGCUUUGCUAAGAAUAAUGACUUGAUCAGAAACCAAACAAGAGAUGGCCCGGUCGGUGAAAACAAAGAAUCAGUUGCACACUAAAUUAUUGGAUGCCUGUGCAAAAGGUAAGGCGUAAAUAACUCCAACUGCACAGUAGGCGGAUGACUUGUGUGCGCCGGGGAAUACAGACAACCUUUUGGAGAAACUUUUGCUGGAAGACAAAGAUACCCUGGACUCUGGAGUAGUGCAUCCUAUAUCCGCGAGGAGACAAGCAUGAAUAGUAAGGGGGGAAAAAACAUUUGACCAAAAAGAGCGCAGUACGUCAUUGCACGGGAAAGGUCCCAGCGGCCUCAGCCGGUUUUAAAGACCUCUUUUUAUCUGUCCCUCUCAUGGACAGUAAACAUGGAGCAGCAUUGCAGCAAACGUCAUUGAACGGGAAAGGUCGUAGUAAUGAAUCAAGUAAUAGUACUGUGAACUUAUGAAAGCGAGGCAGAGUAAAAUAACCUGUCCAUCGAGCUGCGGCGCCUUGUGGCGGAGGAAGCGGUGGAUGCCGUGCUCGACGGCGACGCGCGCGAGCUUCUCCUUGUCGACGUUGGCUGCGCGGAGGCGCGUGAGCGGGCCGGGCGGGAGGCUGCGGUAGGUGAGGAAGACCUCCCGGGACAUGAGGCAGGUUAGCACGCCGUCGCCGAGGUACUCGAGCCGCUCGUAGGUGGAGUCGCCGGGCGGGUAAGGGUAGUAGUAGGAGCCGUGCGUGAGCGCCUCCCCCACCAGGGACUUGUCCCCGAACUCGUACCCGAGGAGGGUCUCCACGGCGGCCACGUCCUCCGGGCCCAUCGGCGGCGCGAACCACGGCGGCGCCUCCUCGCGCUCCAGGCUCUCCUCCUCCCUAGGCAUCUCGUUGUCGGCGGCUGGAGGAGACGGCGUGUCCAUUGCUACUAGAGAUAGGAGUAGAUCGGGGGAACGGUGGAGGCGUUUGUUUAAAAAGCUGAGGAGCAGGCGCGCGGCGCCGGCGCGGUUUCUGGAAGACUCCGGAGGGCGGUCGGAAACGGAAAAGAGGGACACGAGAUUGGUCGAUGGAGGAAGGAGAGAGCCAAAGAGGGUUUCAGCUAUCUUAACUGCGGCGUUGGUCGUUUGGGUCGACGACGACUUGGAGAUGUGUUCUAUGUGCACCACCCGCUUUCUUUUUUCCGUGAAGAUGUGUGUAUGGCUUGGCGUGCGGAGCACUUCCGGUUUGGUCGGGUGUGGGCUCGGAUUGGGUCGAUGAUGGUUGAGAGGCGUGAGCUGGUGAGCACCGCAGGCAGCGCCGGGAGUGGAAAACGUCAAAGGAAGUUGCUACUCCGGUACGAUGACGUAGUGACGCUAAUGCAGAGGCUGUACCGAUCCGGUACCUACCCAUAGCAUGCUGGCCACUAGAUGAGGCGUGUGCUUGCUAUGCUGGCCACUAGAUGAGGCGUGUGCUGCAUGACCAAGGUCCUGUUUGUUUGAAUUUCUACAUCAGCUUCUCGUGUUUUUAGCAAUCUCAAAAACAUUUUUCCUGUUUACACGUGAAACUGAGAAUCACCUUCAGACGUGCUUUUGGUGCUUCUAGCUGAGAACCACGUCCGGAGGUGCUUCUCAGUUUCAUGUGUAAACGGAAGAAGUGCUUUUGAUAUUGCUAGAAGCACCAAAACCUGAAGCAGAAGUUCAAACAAACAAGGCCUAAUUCACCGUGCCUUAAAUUAGAGAUGGAAGAUUAACAGGGUGAGUAGUACUUUUCUUGGUCUAUUUUAAUGUGACCAUCUGACAACUUUUCUCCCUUUUCUUUGUCUCUCUCUUGUUGUUUGUCAGAGGCACAUGUUUGUCAGAGACACAGACUCAUUCCCUUUUCACAACCCGAGUACCUCAGAAAUAUUUAGUACCUCGGUAAUACUUACUACUCCAUGACUCGUUUUUAAGUACAUUUGUGGUACAUGAAAUGUACCUUAUCAUUCUUAAGUACCUCGUAAAAAUAUUAAGAUCGUGUACAUCAACUUGUAACAACACGUCAUGUACCACAAAAAAAUUUAAGUACCUCGUCAAUAUCAAGACAGUGUACAUCAACUCAUGCCAUGUACCUUGUCAGUUUUAAGUACUUCGUCAAAAUAUCAAAACUAAGUACAUCAAUCUCAUGUACGAGCAUUCGUUAAAACUUAGUACAUUGUCAUGUACCAAUGGUAAACGUUAAUCUUAUUGUUGGGAAUAUGCCCUAGAGGCAAUCAUGUAUGAUGUAAUUCCCAAUGUAUUCAUAAAUAUUAUUGAGUUGUCCUUGUUUGAACAUCUGAUAUGUAUCAUUGAAUAUGUGAUUUGAUUGUGGAACUAUGUAUUCAUGUUGUUCAUACUAAAUUGUCCUUAGUCAUUGAGGUUGUGCUGGACACAUAACCUAGACUAAUGUGAAAGUUGGCUGAUGACUCGGUUCCACUUGUCAUGGGCAUGGUGAUGUCAUUCCAGCUUACACGGACUCGGCUAAAGAGUUUAGCGAGUCGGACUGACCCAUAUUGAGAUGCAACGAGUAGGUCGUCAUUUGCAUGUCUCAAUCAAUGUAAUCCUUAGACCUGAGGUUAUCGCACAUUCCGAGUUGUGGAUCACCAACUUAGGUUCUGUCAAACGUUGUUCCGUAACAGGGCAGUUAUAAAGGCAGAGUUCGGGUUGACUGAGAAUCAAGCUGUGUGAUGUGGAUAACCAAGAUGGGAUUUUGCCCCUCCGACUGGAGAGAUAUUCUCUGGGCCCUCUCGAGUGAUAUGAUUCGGGAAGCAUGGCCAUGCGCGACUUGGUUAAUUGUUAACCGGGUCGAUCGACUAAGAGUUAGUCGGAUGAAUCGUAUAUCACAGAUCGAGAAGAGAGUUGAACUAUUAAAGGGAUGACGAUUAAUCGCCUAUAGUUCGACGGUAUAUCGUGAGGCAAAAAGGGACUAAGACGUAUGUCACAUUGGAAGGUACGUCGUCAUGACUCGAUGGUACUUGGGAGUCGGCACGUUCUGCUAGGAGCCGCUACCGAUUGAUCGAUUGUGAGUCGGACUCCAAUCGUGUCCAAGUCACCAUGAGCCUGUGGGGUCACACACUUAAGAGCGGGAGCAAGUAUUUGGUCGGGUUGGACCCGAACUGGAAUUGGGCUGACAAUGCGAGUUGGACUCGCAGGGUGGAUGGGCCACAAGGCUUGGAGCCCACUUCCACUCGAUAUAUAAGCAGGGGCGUGGGAUGCCUAAAGGGCACGGUUUUUUCCACUCUCAUGCGUUGAGAACCCUAGCCCGAUUCAGUUCAACCGUCGCACCGGAUCUAGCAGUCCGCCGCCGGAGCUCCUCCUCGCACGUGUGGAUACCGGCAGAGGUGCUGUACGUUCAGCACUUCGACGAUCGCGGGAUUGGAUCGGCUGGAUCGGAUCGAGGGACUGCACUGCAUCAAGGCGCCGCAUCAAUAAUCCGCAACUGCGCGUCUAGUGGUAAUCCUCGUGGCCUUCUACCUCGGCUAGAUCUUGGGAGUUCGCGUAGGAAAAGUUUUUGUUUAUCUCUACGCGCCCCUUCACUUAUCACGUACAUUGACACAUAGAAUGUCACAUUAAUACGCAUCAAACACAGACAAGGUACUAAGUUUUCUUCUUGCCCGUGCUCUUAAUUCAAAGAUUAACCAAGAAAUCCAAAAGCAAAACAAUAAUAUCUAGCCUCUUAUGGUACAAAAUAUACACCAAACAUGCACAACAUGUACAAUUGGUAAAUGACAAGGUACUAAGUUUUCUUUUUGCCCGUGCUCUUGACUCAAAGAGGAAACAAAGAAAUCCAAAAGCAAAACAAGAUCUGGUCUCUUUAUGGUACAACAAAUACGAAGUACAUAAUCAGUACGAGAUAGAAGCUCACCGUCGAUGAUGGAUCUAGAAGAAAAAGAAGAACAGAAAAAAAAAAUUGGAGUGCUUCGCGUGGCAGGAAGCGAAGGAGGGAGAGAGAGAGAUACAUCGUCUUCUUCAAGCUCCUCCUGAGCCACCGCCUCUAGUUGCUCGCUGCAGGUGGGAGGGGCCGGCGCCUGGUAGGUCGACAUCACCGGCGGGGCUGCUGCACGAGAGAUGGGAGAGAGAGACGGGAUCUGCUUCACGAGAGACAUGGGAGAGAGACGAGGGCAGGAGAGAAGGAUUUGGGGAUUGGGGGAGAGAGAGAAAGGUGGGAGAUAAAAAGCUAAUCCGUACCUAGACGGGGCAGAGGGAUUAACUUUGGGUGGCAGAAAGAUUAGGUAAAGUAGUGGACACGUGUUGAAAAAAUACGAUAAGGGUAACUACCGUUAUCGGCACCGAGAGGUUUGGCGUAGUGACGCACUUGGUCAAGGCCAACUUGGGUACAUGUAUUUAUGUGAUUCCAUAUCUGAAUUUUAUUUGGGUUUUUUGUCCCCCUCUCGUGUGUGAUGGAAAAGACACAAGUCAACAACAUGUGUAGACUUGAACUUGAAACCUUUGACUCUAAUACCAUGACGAGUUUUAUGUACUAGCCAACCCAACCAAAAGACCGAUAUGAUGGAAAUGUCUAGGCAGUUCACUUAAACACUUCAACGUGAUCUCAGGAUUUCCAUGCAUGUCUUAUUCCUCCAUAAUGCAUUUUUCUGGUUGUCUUGGAAAAGUCAAUCUUAAUCACCCUUAGUUUCUUAUUGCCAUUGUGAAAUGCAAGGUUGCAUAAUAGGUUAUUGAGUUCUCUUUGGACGACCUCCUGUUUAUGAAAUGGAUGUUUGUUAUACAUGUGAAACGAUAGCUAGAUUUAGAGACCAAGUGCUUGGCUUAAUUCACCGCCAUUAUAUGUUUGAACUUAUCCAUGCAAAGUAUCACUAUUUUCACUUUGUGCCAACACUUUUAAUUCUGUGACUAUAUUUCACUAUUUUUUGGUGAAAACUAGAACCUGCUAAAUUGUCUUCUAGUUUAACUGCAUUUGGUUACUUGAACCGCAAACUCUCAUAAACACUUGAGACUUUUCUUUGGAUUAAAGCUUCAGCUGCUAAAGUCUUACUGUUACUAUUUAGCUCUCCUUGUGUGUAUGGUUAUGUUGGGCCACGUUCAAUGCAUCUAACUCAAACUUUCAUUAUCAAAAAGGGGUUGAGGGCUAAAGGCCUCUUUGAAUCGAAGAAAUUAAGAGGGUUUUUGACGGAUUCUAAUCCAUAGAAUUUUUUCCUAUUGAGACUCUUGUUUAGACGAAUGGGUCCUCCAAAAUUCAUAUGGAUUGCUUUUCUAAAGCCUAAGGGCCUCUUUGAUUCACAAGAUUUUAAUAACACGAAAAAGGAAAAAACACAGGAUCAGAUUGUCAUGUACUAUUGAGUCAUACAUGAUUAAAAAAACUAUAUGAAUUAGCAUCAAGUGUGUUUGGCAUGCCACAUGAAAAAUCAAAGGAUUCUAGCAAGAUGUUUGAGUGGAUGGAAAUUUUAAUCCAAAAAAGGAGUGCAAAGGAAUCCAUAGGAAAAAUUCAUUAGGAUUCUAUAUCAUGUGAGAGCAAUAGAAGAAAUUUUCCUAAUGAUUCAAAUCCUCUAAAAUCGUAUGAAUUUCCUCUGAAUCAAAGGAGACGUAAUCACAUAUGAAUUCUAGAAAGAGGUAGCCUCUUGGAGAAUUCCUGUGUGUCUAUGCAACUAUCGCAUACAACUGUGCAAAGUCAUGUAUUUUUUCUAUGUUGCAACCAGACAACUUCUAUUGAUGAUUCAUGUGUUCUCCCCACAAGAUUCAACAUGCCAUGGAAUCAUAUUACUAUGUUUUACGAUUCUUUUGAUCUAAAGAGGCCCUAAGAUUGUGUAAAUACCCAUUACCCUCCCCUCGAGUUAGGGUUAGAACUUCAUGUCAUCAUGGUGUUUAGUUGAGCUUUUGAUCCUCAUCGAAGACCUAGUCCAAAUCUCAUGGUGAUGAACACUAAAGUUUGCCUUUAAUUAUAUUUCCUACCUGUUGUGAGGAUUGAGAAAUUCCAUUGACCCCUGCAGUCUAUGGUUUCGUAGAGAGCAUAACCACGCCCGCAAAUGAUGAAGAAUUGUCCCUUCCACAUUAGGUAAUAGGUUUUGUGGAAAUUUAGGUCUUCCUAGUUUUUUGUUGCAUAUCUUUCAGUUAGAAAAACUAAACGCAGAUCAGGUAUUUGGUUCCUUAUGGCGGAACCAGUCCAUCCAUGUUUAAGUCUCCAACUUGACAUUGGUACUUGCAUUUCUCUAAAUUUAUUUCAGGACCUAACCGGCGUUGUGCUUUCAGUGGAGUGACGUACCCGUCAACUACGAAACACUUAUGGUGACCUCGUCAAUCUCAGGAUGAUGUGCCGGACCAGUCUCUCGGAGAUGCUCAAAGGGGUAGGAUGUGCGUGAAAAUGAAAUCGAACAAGAUUAUUUGAUCUCAACAUAAUUGAAUAAAGAACUAUGCUAACACCUGAACAUACGCGUGUUGGUUAGGAUACACGUACUGUGAAGAGGAGCCAACUAAAAGGUUGACCUACUAUUAAUACAUUUGCAAGAAUAAAACUCCAAAAUGUUUUAGCUCUCAACUUAACCUUAUAUUUAAUAUGUUUUCACGUUGGCUUUGUCUUGAGGAGAUACUUUCCCCGUCACAUAUUAAGUGACUUUUUAUUACAUGUAUCUAGACGUUGUUUAGGCAUAAAUACAUUCAUAUUUGGAUAAUUUUGAGUCACUUAACAUGGGACGGAUUGAGUAUUUGGACGUUCAAACCUAUAUUGGUAUGUUUUGAUUUAAAAAAAUCCACCUUAAAAGUUACAACAAGAUAAUAUAUGAAACUAACACCCUCCUAGUAACACGUUACCACGUGGUAACUUCAUACAAAACAAGACAGGACGUGGUAACUUCAUACUCCGUUUCAUAAUUCUUGUCGAAAUAUUACAUGUAUCUAGACUCUUUGUAGAAAUAGAUACAUUCAUAUUUGAGCAAAUUUUAGACAAAAAUUAUAGGAUGGAGGGAGUACAAAACAGGAUGAGAACGACACAGGGUGCCACUGUCCUCUGAUCCAGCAAGCCAAAUCUUAGUUUUCACAAGAUUAGACCAUAAGACGUGGAGGUUGAGCAAGGCUUUCACCUGUAACGCCGCGAUCAACACUCACAAACAAUCUGCACAUGCCGGUCCGACAUAGAAUCGCAGUGUCCUGCCACACGACAGGCGCACGGCGCUUGCCAGCCCGCACCGCCACAACGCCCCACCACCGACAACGGUUUAUUACUAAGUGAAAAAAAAGGACGAUCAGUUCACAAAAUAUUGUUACUAGUUUGAUAUUUAAUCACGCAGAGUUAAAUACAUACAUAAAGAAAAAUCAAAACCGGCAAAGUGUGCAAUGUCCCACGCUAGAACGAUGAUAAUGUGCCAAGCUGGUAAACCCUAGACCAACAGUCGGCCUAUAGGGUGCAGCUACAAAAUCAUUAAUUAGGCUCUAUACAAGGUACAGAGGCUGAAUAAUCAUGUUUCAUGAACAGUAUUUCCUCCAAAAAGACAUACGACAAAACCAAGGGAGCUUGCUUCGCUCUUCAACUUCACUGUAGCGAGCUGCAAUAUUCUGCGUGUAGCGAGGAAUUCCGGAUUAUUGCGUCCGAUAUCUAUUGCUGUGUUAACAACCCUAUGUGAUUCUACAAAUACAGGCUAUUAGUGAUGUCCUAACCCAUCAUUCGAGAACAAAUGGACAUAUAAAAUGGAACAAAAAUUUGUUUCCUCUGCCCUAGAAGAAUCACUCUGGGCUCUUAGUGGCCUUGUGUGAAUUUACAAGCUGCAUCUGUACAUCCUGCGAGACAGUGUUGUGCUCCAUAUACUCCAUCGUAAAUUCACCUUUUCCCUGCAGGAUGAAUUUAAUGUUACAUUUUUAACAUGUGCACUAUAUCACAUCCAGGACAAAUCUUAGUUUUCUUCACAAUUUUGGAACAAAACAGCAUGUACUUUAUUGAAAAGGAAUCUACCCAUAUGUGCAUAAAUCACUAUUUUCAUCAUAUAAUAGUAGAUCGAACAUAGCUGCUGCCGACUACUCCCUCCGUUCCAUAAUUCUUGUCUCAAAUUUGCCCAAAAAUGGAUGUAUCUAUUCUAAAAAUGUGUCUAGAUACAUGUAAGAUUUCGACAAGAAUUAUGGAACGGAGGGAGUACUUUGCAAAUAUGCCGAGCAAAGCGCAUCUAAAAUGAAGAUGCUUUCAAACAAAUGUUCUGUAUAUACAAGUAGAUAAAGAUCAUAUAGAUUUAGACACAAGAAUAAAAUUUGACCUGUGUCAUUGAACGAAGUGCUGUUGAAUAUCCAAACAUAUUGUUUAGCGGAACCUGAAAGAGAGGACAAAGGCUUAGAUCACGAAUUCCACAAACAAUACAGCGAGUAACUAGCCUAGAAGCGAAACUUGAAUUACGCAAUGUACCUACUCCUCGUAUACAGUCUAACGGUGUGUCUAUUGUAGUGUUUAAUAGGAGUAUACAAAAAAGAUAAAAAGUUCAAAAGUGAAAUUCACUUUGCUAAAUGUAGCCCUAGUUGUCAAUGUAGAUUAAAACAGUCCCCAGACCUGUCACCCACUCACCAAUCAUCACUAGAAAAGUUACAGUAAAAGUUACGUGGGUGGUGUUUCAAUGUGUUCUCCUAUUCCUAUUGCAGCUGUUCACUGAAAAAUCUCUAGAAGUUAUAGAAAAUCAAAAUCACCAGUCCCUAACUACAACCAUUCCUAACCACUAACCACCUUCAAAUCUGCCAAUUUUAUCACAAGCCAAAUACAAGCAACACUAGUGCUUUCCAUGCUAUAAGAAGCAAGAAGAAACUGGAAGGAACAAGGCUUACAUGGCAUACUACAACUGUGUCAUCGCCUUCCUGAUCAUUUCCAACAAUAAUACCUUUUCUCCUGUGUUUCCACAUAAUGCAAAAGAAAAUGGAGUUAGUAUGGAUUGAACGAUCAGUGUACAAAAUGCAAAUUCCAUAACACCCAGACUCAAUUUGCCAAAACAUCACCAAGUUUGUCACUACCAGACCAUGGUAUUCUGCCAAACUAUGGUUAUCUUAUAAAGUAAAUUGAUGCAAGUGUCUGUUUUUCUUGGGUAGGGAAAGUGCAUUAGGCAUGACAUCAUAUAUCAUGUGCUAACCAUACAUUUCAGUACAACAACAGCUUGUUGAGAUCAAACACUCACUUGUUCAUGUCCCCAGUUACUGUGCCCUGAAACUCUGUUGGAACUUUUAGUUCCACCUUCAUCACGGGUUCUAGUAUUACAGGUUUAGCAGCAGUGUAACACUGAAACAAGGAAGAACAAAUUCAUGAACAACGCUUACAUUCAAAUUGUACUAGUGUGACCAUUCACUAGAAAUGCAAUUUGUACCCUAAAGAAGGUGACUAGGCUCACCUGUCUAAAAGCAUAGAUAGCAGCUAGCUUAAAAGCAAGCUCACUGGAAUCCACUGCAUGUGAAGCCCCAUCGGUCAGCGUAAUCCGGAUAUUCUCAACUGGAUGCCCUAUCAAUGAACCCCUAGAGUAGGUAGCAUGGAAACAUAUGUUAUCACUCUGCAAAAAAAUGUGAAAUAGCUUAACUACUGGGGAAGAGAUGGACUCACGAAUUGCAAGCUUCCUUAAAACCCUUCUCGAUUGCUGGUAUGAAGUUGGACGGAAUCGCUUGUCCAAUAAUCAUGUUAUCAAAUUCGAACUUACCGUCAGAACCUGAUGGAAGAGGUUCAAUAUACCUGCAUAUUGAUGCUUGUCACGAUAACUCCAAACGAAUUUAUUCACAUAACCAAAUCUCCGGUAUGGUAAACCGGGAGUAUCACUUUUCAAAUCAAAUUUGGCAGAUCUGAAACCAAUUCGCACGUUUACAAUAUAAUAAACCUUAAGAAGAUAGAUCAAUUUUGCAAUACAUUUGUGGCAGCACGCGUAGGAAGUAUCAGGCAAAGAUAGAAGGUACAGCCACCAAGUUUACUUGUUCGUAUGGCAUGUGGUGGUCGUUUGCAUUUUGGGAAGCACUUAAAUUGUCCCAUUUCAGGUGUAUCAAUGAGCUGAGACUUAAGAAUGCCUUUUUUUUUGCCAUAAUACCAAAAUCUUCAAUCAGUAAAAAAUCUCGUAACUAAUUACAUCCCAAAAUACAGCAUAACACAGUGCAACAAAAACAAACUAGCCCAUGAUGACCAGGACACAAGUGUUUGCAUUUUGUGUACACGUGCCUGUAGCCAAGGCCAUUCGCCCUGUCUUGACUGAAUUGUCUCAACUGUUGUGAUGAGUACAUCAUUUAGAAGACUAAAAAUAGUAAACGUGGGUUCAAGAAAUCCAAGAGUUCUAAACACAAGAUCUGAUAUAAUAUACUCCCUCCGUCCCAUAUUAAUUGUCUCAAAUUUGUCCAAAUAUGGAUGUAUCUAGGCCUAAAAAGCGUCUAGAUACAUGCAAUAUUUCGACAAUUAAUAUGGGACGGAGGGAGUAGUAAACAAGAACAAAGAGUUCAGUUGAUAUGUAAAACUGUACAUGUGUGCUAGAAAACUAGAGGCUAUGGCCUCUAUUCAUACUAUAUGAAGCCCUUCACAGCUGAGCUACAAAUCAUAACCAUCCUUUAAAUGUAGGAUCAUAUUACAUGGGGAUUAAGCUUAAAUUGAUAUUAUACUGCUGAACGACUAAAGAAAACAUGACAUUAUCAAACUGACAAGCUUAAAGGGUAAGUAUUCUAGAACUGUGAGAGUAAAAGUAGCAAAACAAGAAUUUGCUUCCACUCAACACUUGAUAUUUGGUGUUAAGUGUUCCUAUAUCUCCAUUUGGGAAAGCAUUAACUUUUCGGAAGUGAACAAACUGAGAUAAAAGCAAGUAACAGAUAUUAAUUUCCAAUAAAUAAUCUAAUAUGUAUGAACUUACCCACAUACUCGUCCAUAUUGACCUUGACCGCCAGAUUGCUUUUUGUGCAAGUAAUCAAACUCAGCACGCUGAGUGAUAGUUUCCCUGAAGUUCACACGAGGUUUCCCAACCUUUGCAUCAACCUACAUGAGAGACACACCUAUUAGAUUUAUUGAAAAAAUUAACAGCUUCAACUGUAUGGCCAGUUAGUCAGACGUAUGGUGCAGUUGAUGAAAAUGGUCGACAAGAAUGCAUAUAACAUAAGUAAGCUCAAUCAGGCAGCCAGGCAGCAAUAUUUCUGAACUUUGAAAUACUAAAAUGUAGUGCUCAGUAGGACACGAGGACAAUUAUAGAUGAACAUGCAGGCUAUCUGGGUUUAGUGUGAUCAAACCAAUAUUACAGGAAAUGUCAAUGAGGCGCUGCACCAUAGCAACCCAUGACAGCAACCAACCAUAUUUCCUUCAGGACUCUGGCUUCACACCAUAUCUAUGGACUGGACACCUCACUCAGGCGAGAGCAGACAGCAGACACAACACCCACUUGCAAGGGACACUCGUGUAGCGCAGUAGAGGCACUCCUACAGACACUGUAGUGCUUUUUUUUUCCUUUCGCUUUCUUCAGCACCUUUCUUUUCCUUUUAAAUCAGAACACCAGAACAGUAGCGAAGAACUUCUAGUCUAGUUUUUUCUGCAUCACUUACUGUUAGUACUAUGUACUCUCUGAAUCAAAAUGGACCUAGUGGUGCACAGAAUUUCGACAGAUUUGAAGCCACCAUUCUUGAGUUUACGAACCACUCUUCACUAGCCAGAUUUAGAAGCAGUGAUAUUUAAAGAUGAUGAUUUUCAGUGUCUUACCACGCAGCUAAGCCACCACCUAAUCUCAUGCCUGCUGCCGCAGUAUUUCUAUAGCAUGGUCACGUACUUACAUAUAUGCAAUUCAUUUAUUUAUUUUGCGUGUGUUACGAAGAAUUAGAGAUGGAGAACAUUCAUUGGAUGUUGCUCUCUUGAAAAUAAGGUUGCCUCAACUCUAUCUGUUGAAUUUGGUAUCUCGAUAUUAUAAUUUUUGUUGAAAUCUAAUAUCUGAACCAUCUGUGACUGUUGAUAGGAAGGCACCUUGCUGCAGCUCGCCCAAUGGCAGUUAAAACAUUGUGGUGAUAUGGUUUUCCCAGCAAAAUGAACAUUGCAGUGAUAAGGGGGGGGAGGGGGGGGGGUAACUUUUAGUUUUAGAAUCAAUGAAAUCAAAAUCUGCUAACAAGACACUUACAAUGACGUUUUAGGUCUUAUAUUUACGACACAGCACACAACAGCUAAUUACAGCAUGCAACCAGCAGGUGAUUGGCCGCAUGCAAGCCAGGUAAUUAUGGCAUGCUCGCGGCAGAUGAUUCGCUGCAUGGGGAAGAGACGCAGUAAAAAGCGCGACCUGCACGCAUGACUCUUGAAGCGAAACGUUUCCAGCCAGGCUAGGUAGCUAUUUACCGCCGCUUUUAAUUCUUCCAUGGUAUUAGAGAUUUCUCUAAAACGACACUUAAAUUGGGAAGGAGGGAGUACAAUAAAAUUUUGAAACAUCACCAUAUACAAAAUGAUCUAGACUGACAACAUUCAAAUUGAAAACGAUGCUACAAUCUUCACUGCUUUCAGAACAAUACAUGUUUACAUUUUUCUAACAUACUACAGCUAUAGACAUUCAUGAUCAAUGUACCCCCUCAGAGAACUUUGUUGACCUAAAACAUAACUUAUGAACAUGUACAAUGAUAAGAAAAUAUGUGAGGACAGAACUAGACAUACCUUAAUACGAGUGCAAAAACUGGACGUGAAUGAUCUUUCCACUGCCAAGAGCAAAACAGAUUUGACUGUUUUACUCUACGAGGACAAUACCCACGCUUUGCUAUGGAUUGCCAAACUAAACUACUAUAUAUGUCCAAGAUCUGUGUGCCGUCCAUGCCAAAUCAGAACAACCAUAUACCCUCACAUUGCAACCGUUUGUGCCAAAUCUAACAUACAUGUUGCGUAACCAAAGGUGGACGGACCACUGACAUCUUUAUAGGAGUAAGGAUUAUAUUGUGGAAGAUAUGUACUUCUGAGUCAAAUUUUGGAUUAUCUGGCUCACACAGAAAAUAAUACUCCCUCCGUCCCAUAUUAAGUGACUCAAAUUUGUCCAAAUAUGGAUGUAUCUAUACCAAAAAAGCGUCUAGAUACAUGUAAUAUUUCGUCACUUAAUAUGGGACGGAGGGAGUAGAAAGGUUUGGCUGGAUGACAAGGGCAUCGAUUUCCUUAAAAAUUAUACUCUUUCCUUCCCAAAAUAUAAGGCAUAGAUAUUUUUUCCUUGGUCAAACUUUUUUAUGUUUGACCAAGUUUAUAAAAAAAUACCAACAUCUAUAAUACCAAACCAGUAUCGUAGAUGUCAAUAUUUUUGCUAUAAAAUUGGUCAAACUUAGAAAUGUUGACUUAGUACAACAUCUAUAUGCCUUAUACUUUGGGAAGGAGGGAGUAACAAUUUAUCUAUCCUCACAUAGCAAGUUUUUAGUAAAGUUAACAGAGAUCCAUGUAUAGAUGUGCUUUUGCCCAAAUAGACAAGGAAACCAAGUAUUUCCUUGAACUAAUUGUUUUUGUACCUUGUACUCUCUCCUGAUGCGUUCAACAUAGAUGUCCAAAUGCAACUCACCCAUACCAGAAAUGAUUGUCUGCAAACAUGAUUUAUGCUUUAGAAACUUGACGAGGAUAGAAAUUAAACAACUUAAUAGAUAGCACAGCAAACCUGUCCACUCUCUGGAUCCAGACCUACACGGAAAGUGGGAUCUUCUCUCUGGAAUCGAUUCAGGGCUUUCGAAAACUGAAAUAUCAACGUAGUAAAAUUAGACGAAGCAUUUCAGAUAUCAAAAUUAAAUACAACACAUGGACAAAAAAACAGAUCCGUUACUUGUCCACCAGAAUCUUUAGAUAUCGGGUUAACAGCCAAGGACAUCACAGGUUCAGGGACAUUCAUUGAAGUCAUAGUAUAUUUGACCGACCCGUCUGUAAAUGUAUCACCUGUUGAUGCAAAAGGUGGGAAAUCAGGCACUGAAGAAGUAUGGCACAUAAAAGACCUUGAAUAUUAAAUUGCUAAUCAAUAUACCUGAUGCGCAAUCAACACCAAACACAGCAACAAUUUGUCCAGCAUGCGCUUCUUGAAUAUCCUACAUUGACCACCAAAUAUUGAGAUACUGCCCCAUAAAUUGGUUUUGCGAUCUUGAUCCGAUCAAACAGCUACUGCUAAAGAGAUAAUUUCAAAUAAGAAGCAUCUUACCUCCAUCUCAUUGGAGUGCAUCCUUACCAAACGAGGAACCUACAAAAAGUUAACAACAGUUAGAUCAGCGAAGGAAAACCUUUUAGCAUUAUCCAACACCAAUCAAAAGUCAAGGCAGAAAUCUAACAAAUUGAAGGCAUCUAAUGUUUUCUAAAUAUAAUUGAUAUAGUUUAUACACACAUUUCGACAAGAAUUACAGCAGUUUCGCAGUGAUGUAGCAUAGUACUCCCUCCGAUCCAUAAUAAGUGUCACAUAUUUUGUACCAAAUUAGUACAAAGUUCUACUAAAUCUGACACUAAUUAUGGAUCGGAGGGAGCAUACUAUUUAAAGAGUGCAACUAUACAGACUCAUUUAAUAGUUUAAUACUUAGUUACUUACAAUAGAAGCAAAAACUGCAAUACGGAGUAUUAGCAAUUUAAAAGUAAAAGAAUGCUAAUAUGCAACAUUCUUUUUGGAAACAAUUUUGGAAAUUACGAACUUUCAAUGAAAAAAUAAAAACUUUGAUAGUGAAAUUUUAAUUAAAUAUUAUCCUUAAACUCUGUAUUCAAAUAUUUCAUAAUUUAACUAAACAAUAUUGAAACUAAUGACCCAAUAAAAAGAAGUAGAAGUAGAUGGCAAAAUUUAGGAAGGAAGCUUCAAAAUCAUAAUUAUAUGUUUGACAGAAAGCUUGAAAAUCAUCAAACAUUAAAUAUUAAGAAGACCAAAUAUUUCAAAUGUUGGACUAGAAGCUUGAAAACAAAAUAUUAAACAUUAAUAAGGAAAAACAAAAAUAUUCAAAUUAUAAAUUUAAAGUAGAUAAUCCUCUACUUUCGAUCUUUGGUUUGACUCUCAAUAUUUUAAUUCCAAAUUUUCAGUACUAGUUAAAAUACAGUACAAUUCAGAAAUUUGUCACUUAUAGUAGGAAUUGAUGAUGUUCUGUAAAAAUUCCAAAUUUCAAACCAGGCACAUGACAUGCCAUUUUGUGUUUCUGUCAAAAGAUCUAUUUUAAUUUACCCAAAAAACAAAUACUCCCUCCGUCCAACAAAAGAUGUCUCAACUUUUACUAAAUUUGAAUGCAUCUAUACAUUAAGUUAUGUCUAGAUGCAUCCAAAUUUUGACAAACUUGAGACAUCCUUUAUUGGACGGAGGGAGUAUGCGAUAUUACACUUAACAUACUGAAAAAAUAGAAAAGGUAAUAUUUUACAAAAAAUAGAAAGGGUAAUAACCGGGCACACCAUUAUGUUUGAUAGUGUGAUCACAGCUGUGACAGCAUGUGUUUGCUCAAUCACAUAGAAUUUAUAGCCCGCAAUUAGAAGACUAUCUUUUAGCCUUUUUCUCUCUGCCAGUUAAGUAAGCCCCUCUCUUUUCUUCACAGAAUAAUCAAUCUAUAGUAGUGUAUGGACCCCCAACAGAGGAAAUAUUGGUAUAGUCAAUUUUUAUGUUCUCGGCUCAAAGAACAAUAUGGAAACUACAACAUAAAUGGCCUUGCUGGGACUUGAGAUUAAAAGCCUUCUUCCAAGAAAAAAGAUCAAAAACCUUACUUUGAUCUUUUUUCCUGUAUUCACAUUGUAUAUGAAAUCACCUUUCCGUAUCACACCAUCGUAGAUUCUAUCCAGGCAGUAAGAAUGAUUAGUUAGGAAAUAAAGUAAACACAGUAACAAAUUAUGAUAAUGCAACAAAAUCAGUUUCUACAAGAGCCAUAAUCACCUUAGAUAUGUCAACUGACCAAAGCGGCCUUCCUCAAGCUUAAAUGCUAAUGCUACAAGAGGCCCAGCUGGCGUUCCACCCAAUAAGACCUAGCCAUCAAACCAGGUGGUAAUUUAUUACGAGGAAGCGUAGUAUUAACAAAAAGAAGAACUUCGUUAUUCAAAACAGCAAGCUAUGGUACAAUCAUUCGUUAAUCACAGAAACCUUCUCUCUACGUUACAUAUUGUUUUCCAUCUCUCUUCACUUCCACUUUGUAAGAUGAGUGGAGGAAGAGGAAAACUGGAGAAGUGACAAAAAAAGUGCAUAAAGCAAAAUGAUUUCACAAGAGUUACUCUAUCCAAUAGACUGCGUUGAUUUUAUUCUACCUUCUCUUCUGAUUUGUUUUGGUCGAGGGCGUAGUUUUCAACUUCCGCUGGACAAGGUAGAUAGUCAAGCACACCAUUAAGAAGAGGUUGAACACCCUAUAAAACCAGUAAAAAGAUAAAAAUAAAUGUUAGCUUGAAACAUCCAACAAUUAAUUUGUUGAGUACUACACUGUUCGCAACUUAGUAUUAAGGAUAUGGCUGCCAAAUUGCAGGUGCUUGCACAAACGUUCUAACUCGAGAGCACUCAUACUAACUGCAAACAAUUUUAUCCCCUCUCGUGUUAAGAGAGAAUUACGGAUAAACUUUCUCAAAAUUGCUGACUCAUUCGUGCAGUUUUAAUUUCAGUUUACCAUCUUUACUUUUGACUUAGUGUAGACUGUACGUGUAUUCUACAUUUGGCACUUCCACCCAUAUUUUGAAAUAAUUUGUAAUCACUAGUACCAAAUGUAUAGUUGAAAACUUUGAAACGAUAUUAGGAAUUAAUAUGCACACAGUACAACAGUAAAGGUAAAUUGCGAAGAAUUAAACUGAAACAAGAACUACAGGAAGAAAAUUGUUGUUCUGUAGAUAGAGAGGGUAAUACACAAUUUUGCAAGAAUGAAAUCCGUGAGGUAGUACAAUUCCCUAUUGUUCUUGUAAAACAGAACAUGAUUAUAGUGACAAGAGAACUUUCAAAAUUCUAUCAAGUUUGGCACUUACUCUCAUAAAUAUGUACGAACUUAUUUUUGAUAAAAGAAACUGCAACUAAAUAAAAAGAACCAGAUAAUUAAUAAAAAAAUACAUCCAUGGACCUUAUUUUUGAAUGCACUUCCCAUGUAUACUGGUAUGAACUUGCGUGCUACUGUUGCUCUUCGGAUAGCAGCCUGGUCAAAAAGAAAAAUUAAGAUGCCAGAAGGCAUGAAACCAAUUAAGAACUAAAAGAUGAAGUUUAUUGAUAUUAUUACUGUUCAAAGAAAACUAAUACAGUUACAAAAUCAGGAAAGAUAUGAUCAAGUAGAUUUUGACCAUAAGAUUAUGUCAAUCAAUUUGCGAUUGAUGUCAUAUAUAUAUAAUAAAGUGCAAGUCUUAUCACAAUUUCAAACAUAUAAAGAAAAUAGUCUCCAUACUUUAAAUAUACAGACCUUAUAUGAUUUCCUAAUAUGUUUCUAAGAAAAUUGGAGAAUUUAUCCUUCGUCAUUCUGAAAUGGACUAUCUGGGUAUAAUGAAAAACACUAGCAAUGGACCACAGUAUUACUUUUCAACCAACAAAAUUUACAGACAUCACAUCCAUCACCAAUCAUGUUUACAGCUUUGACAAAAUGUAUGCUGGUGGUAGUCUUAAACAUGAUCAGCAGGUAAAUUUAAAUCAUAUGGACCACGGAUUAUUUUUCAACAAACAAAGCCCUACAGAUCACAUCCAUUCAAUAAUAAUUUUUACAGCUUUGAUAAAAAGUAUAACCAUUUUAAACAUCAACAGCUCGUAAAAUAUCAUUUUUCGUCUUUACUUAUCAUUGACGGCAUGCUCUAACCACUGACUUAGAAAAGAAAUGCCCACUAUGUAAGCAUCAGAAUGCAUUCAACAUGCCUACUUCAAUUAGCAAUAAAUACAGUUUACUGAAUCAAAUUUUGCAAGUUCACUUCACAUUUGAAAUACAAAAUCAAGUAUUAAAACCCCAAAGCAGGUCCAUUUACACCCAGACGCAGUUUGGGACGUUGGUCCCAUCAACAUGGUGGCAAAUUGUUACAUCUGCAGUUAACAUUACAAAAACAAAAUUGCUACAGUAGUAUGGUGGCACCGUAGUAAGUUAGCGUAAACAAAAAUCUUCUCAAUUGAACAAACUGAUGAGCAAUCAAAAUCCUCAAAAAAAUGAAUUACUGCUAUCAUAGCAUAGUUCGAUGACAUAAACAGCGCUGUUCAUGGGGUGAAGUGUUCCUAUUCUAUUUCUAUGAUGUAGCUAUCAGCUGAAACAGUUUCCGAUGGACUUUAUGCUUUUAUAGAGUAAUUUCAUGAAAUGUUAUAUCCACACAACAAUGAUAAAAACAACGGAAAAUAACAAAAGAGGGUAAAAACUAUCAGCCAAACAAAUAGAAUGAUAGUGAGUUGAAUGAACCUUAAGCUCAUUAGCUGAUAUUGGCUCAUCAUUGAGAAAAGCUUCGGCAAGCUGAUCAUCGACUUCUGAAACAACUUCAAUAAGUUCACGUCUCUUGUCCGUGACUAAAUCUUGCAUGUUGGAUGGGACAUCAGAUGUAACGACAUCCUGUCUGCACAAUUAGAAAUGAUGUGUCAUCAAAGAUUCCAGGUAAGGUAAGCCCUCAUGAGUCAAAUGUUUGUAAAGAACAGGGACACACCCACUUCCACCCUCGAAAUUAUAAGCCUUCAACUCCACAAGAUCCACAAGGCCCUCAAACUCCUCUUCUAAUCCUAUGGGCACUUGUAGAGCUGCACUGUGGUGCCGGAGUUUAGACCGAGCCUUGAAUAGAACAAAUAAAAGUUAACAAACAGCUAAGAAACCGAUGACAACAUAUAACUGCAAGAUGCCCUCGCCAGAACUAAAAAGAAAUAACACAUAUCAGAGAUAAAUGGAAAGCCUACAUAACACCAAUACACUAUAUCCAAAUAAAGCAACACUAGCAUCAAAAUGCAAGUCUGGUCCACAUUAAGCACUACAGUGCAAAGUAAAGUAGCAAAAAGUUGACUGUUGCUUCUUCAGAAUUCAAAUGCAAUUGAAAGAGAAUUGAUUGUGACAUAUCCUUUUCAGUAUUUAACAAGAUAAGCAUAGGUUACCUAGCACUACUAUAUUAGCAUGGUAUAACGAAGUGUGUCCUUGCAGAAAUAUAUAUCUAAUAUACAUGCCACAUGGAAUCAAAUGACAAGACAGACUUUUAUCCACUUCCACAGAGAGAAAAGGCUUGGGCAGCAUGAAAAGAGAUAAAAAAGCAUUUUGCAUAAGCCUCUCACUCUUCAGAGAAUCCUCACAAAGCAUCACAAUGUAUAACCACAAAACCCAGCCUCAUGCUCACCUGGUUAAGAACUUUCCAUGGAUCGGCUCCCAUACGGUCUAACUUGUUAAUAAAUGCAACCCUUGGGAUCUCAUAUCUUUUCAUCUGUCGAUCGACAGUAAUCGAUUGACUUUGUACGCCACCGACACUACAUAGCACAAGUAUAGCACCAUCAAGAACACGAAGGGCCCUUUCAACCUCAAUGGUGAAAUCCACGUGACCUGGGGUAUCAAUAAUAUUAACCUGCACCCAAAUAUAACACGGGAAUAGUGUAAGGUAGGCCCAAACAAAAGCAUUACUCGGAUAGGAGAACAGCUGAGAUAGUGAUCAAAAUGCUUGUGGACAUCACAACAGAAACUCAACUCGACAGUAACCCUGAAAGAUAUGUGGAUCAAACGUUGAAACCCACUCCUUCAACACAAAACCAGACACUUAAAGAAGCAGGUUGGUUUAGCGUGAGUUCGCGCAGGUAACUCAUUCAAUUCAAGUGCAAUGGAAGAUAUGUUGAGCAAAAAUUGAAAACCACUCCUUUAGUUCUUUCAAAUAGCCCACAGCCAUCGAGCACUUACCAUCCCACUCAUAACAGCAGAGGAUGAUUUAAUAAAUGGUAAUCUAUGAAAAGCAAUGGUGGCUUCUUCAGCACCACUUGACCAAAAACGAAAGAAUCUAUGGUGGUGGCUGGUAACUUGUCCAUGUUUCGCAGAUUACAUCCCUAUCUUAUGCAAUUUGCCAUCAGUCACAGGCAUUCUCUGAUCGUCCACUCAUCAUGGUGUUGAUAUAGUUAAUGAGGCUUCUUCAUUAGUGGCAUCAACAAUGAUCGCUAUUUUACAAUGAAAAAACAUUCUACAACAAUAUCACACUCCUCUUAGUAACAAGUCUUAGUAACAACUUGCUGGAGGGUUGCUACUAUUGACAAGAUAUUCUCUCUCCUCUAAGUAAUGACCUUAGUGACCACUUGUUGGGGAUGCAAACGUACUACAGUUAAACAUAAUAGUUAAACACACCAUAUAGUAGUCAAACAUGAUAUCCAGAAGAAAUGAACUUUGCUAGUUUCUUACCAAAUAUUGUUCAACAGAUAUACUUUUUAGCCUAUUAUCAAACGCAUUAUGCCUUUCUUACACAUCAACUAAUUAAGCUUCCAACUGAGGAACCCUAUGAGUUAAAUUGUGAAAGAAGUUCAUAGUAAAAAUAAUAAGUUAUCUGUCUUGUAAUGAUUAACACAACGAGUUGAAAAUUAACCCAAAAUGAGGAACGGUGUGAGGUAACAGAGGACUAUCUCACAGUUAAGCCAUCGACUCAAGCCCGCUGCUUUUUCUUCUUUAACAAGCAACCAAAUAACGGUGAUCAAGGGAUAAGAUCAGAGAGAUGUGAAGAAGUUAGAACAUGAGAGAUGAGGAGCGAAAUGGACCUGAUAGUCAUUCCAGGUACAGUAGGUCGCGGCCGACUGGAUGGUGAUGCCCUUCUCGCGUUCGAGAUCCAUGGAGUCCAUUUUUGCGCCGACGCCAUCACGGCCACGCACCUCGUGGAUCUCAUGGAUCCGGCCAGUGUAGUACAAGACCCGCUCCGUCAGUGUCGUCUUUCCGGAGUCGAUGUGCGCGGAUAUCCCGAUGUUCCGCAUCCGAUCCAUGGACUCCCGCCACCGAGCCAACUCCUUGUCGUCUCCCCGUGCCCGCAGAGCCGACGCAGAGGACAUUGCCCGUCGAGCCGAUGCUGCUGCGGCCGCGGCUGCGGGCGUGGGCGCAUCGGUCAGGGGCUGCAGGAGUAGAGAGAAAGGGCGGAAGGAGCAGAGGAGGUGGGAGGCGGAACGACGGGCCAUGGCCAUCGCCGCUAGGAAAUUCUCGGCGGCGGCGGAGGCGGCGGGUUUUGAUCUCGUUGCACUAAAGCCCUAGGAGCUCGUCCAAUAAACUCCUACAGUCCUGGCCUCUUCUCGAAAGAAAAAGAAAAAAAAACUCAUAAGUACCUGUUGGGUCGAAGCAAUAGCUGGCAGAAGUUAAACGGCCCUGCUAGCCCGUCACACAGCCCGUUUAGCAUUCCCGCGGGGUGCUUGGCCGAUUUAUGUGUGUUUGGUUGGUGAGUGCUGAAGGAUGGAUUGGCUCCAACCAGAUUUUUUUAGUAGGCUCACUCAGUUUCACGUUUGGUUAAAAGAGGGGUCACUCGGUUUCACGUUUGGUUAGGAAGUUGGUUCAAUAAAAAAAGAAAAAAGGUCGUCUUCUCCCUUCCCUUCUUCCACCGUGACUUCUCCUCUCCCAAUCUCUGAAGUCCAGCAAGCUCGAGGCCGCCGCCGCUCGCCGUCGGGAUCGAGGUUGCCGCUCGCGCUCGAAUCCCGCCGCCGCCACCGUGCUCGAGGCCUGCCGCCGCCGCUCGCCGUCGGGAUCGAGGCCCGCCGCCGCUCGCGCUCGCGGCCCCCCGCUCGCGGCCGCGCUCGUGCUCGGGGCCGCCGCGCCCCCGCUCGAGGCUGUGUCCCCUCGUCUCCAUUGACCCAGCCGGCGGCGCAGUCCGCGAGAUCGAGCUCCGGCGGCGGUUCUGUCGAGUGGGGACGAACUCCGGUGCCAAGGGCGACUAACUCCGACGGGCGGCUCCGGCGAGUGGGAUGAGCCCCGCGUGAGCCGCAUGAGCCGGCCAAUUCCACCGGCUCACGCGGACCAGCGUUUUUUUUUUUCGGUCCAGCCCAACCAGGCUCACUAACCAGACAUGCGCAAAAAACAUUUUGGGCCGGUUCACACUGCGUGGGUUGGCCCCGACCCAUGAACCAAACACAUCCUUAGGCAUGCAUGCGGUACGGCAUGGCCCGUUUAUAAGCAGGCUAAGUCCAGCUAGCAGCAGAACGAGUCAUGAUGUCUACCUUUUAAAAACAACAACUUGUCGAAGGUUUGAAAACAAAGUCUCGUUCCUCUCAAAAAAAAAAAGUCUUGUUUCGGAAGCCAAAAUUAGUAGUCCUUUAUCUGCAAACCAUCUCCCAAGCUCUUAUCAAGCUAGUUCGGGAGAAGGUCCAAAACCUUUUGUAAUUUGGCGUCCCUCUCCGGUUUAUGCAUGCAUGUGGAUUGGAGAAGCUGGUUUAGUUGGGUCAGCAGGUUCAGCCCUAGGACAGGGUAGCAGGUGCCAUCGUCAUGGGCCCCUAGAACUCAAGGGCCCAGUCUAGAUACAUAUUUGUCUUCUUCUUUUGGAAGGAAAAAAUUUAUUUAUUAAAAACACAAUACUUCACACAACUGAACUUCAGGCAAGUUCAAGCAUUGAAGAGUACACCGCACUGGGUAAUAGUAUUAAGUUGUUGUGGAUCACAUCCAACAAGGGUCGAAGAGACCAGAGUCCUGGGCUCCCAAGAAUGCUUCUUCCAUCAGCUGCUUGAGCAAGGAUUGAGCUAUAUGUUAAAAAGGUAGUUGUCUCAAAUUGAAACUGCCUGCUGAAGAUAACUGCAAGGAGGAGAGCCCAAGAUUCAGUUUGGAAAGGGGAGCUGCAAUCUGGUGAUGUAGCAAAGAUCUGGACUUUUAUCCUGUUUGAGGGGGCGUAAUGCUCGGUGUAAACUACGAGACCUGCUUUUGCUUGAGUUGCUCCUGGUUGGCUUCGAAGGAGCUUGCAGGCCGCAUCCAAGUAGAUAUGUGUACCCAGAGAGAACAAACUCAAAGUUAAAUCAAGGAAAAAAAUUAUUGUUUGUGACAUACGCAAUAUGAUUGGCUAUGUUCCUUCCUAGCUCACACGCGAGCGCGCACAGACAAGGCCAAUCAAUACUAUACUUUAACUAGUUGAGUGUCCGUGUCGUUGCUACGGUGACAAAUUAAUGCUAUAGCAGAUCAUGCAUGAGACAGCCUUGGCUUUUUGAAAAGUUGAAUUCAUGACAAAUUUAUGUCAUAGGAGCCUAAUAAAAUACUAAACAUAUAUCAUUUAGAACGUGUGUGCAUGAGACGACUAUUCCUUUAUUCCUUUAGUAAAACAGCCGUGACGGUUGAUUCUAAAUUCAAUAAUCCACUUUUUUUUUUCUUUCACCGAGACUUCUUUCUCCAGCCAUUGCCGAUCUAAGCUCACCAACUUUCCUAACCACUGCUGGUCUAUUAAUUGCAACUCAUAAGGGUGUAAUGCAUGAUUUGUACUUUUCUGUUUUUCAGCAAACAAAGAAUUGGUAUUUCUAAACUUAGCAUACCACUGAAAUAAUUGAAGGGUCAAAUAUUGCAAACUAUUUCUUCAAGUCAACCAUUCCAGAAACUGAUCAAUACAAAUCGUUUUGCUAUUUUAGACAAUGGGAUCUGUUCAAUUUUUUCAAAACAAAUAUUGCCUGACCAGAGACACUCAGGAGAUACCCAGGUAUAUAUCAAAUGUUGCCCUGUAGAGGGAAAGAAAAUGCAAUUCCCUGCGAAACUUCCUCCUCAAGUGUUGCUAUCUCUCAGACCAAGUCUGUGACAGGCUACAUAUGCCACAACAUACAUAGAAAGUGUGCACACCUGACUUACUAUUUUUUUUUACUUUGCACUAUCUGAAGUUUAUAAAGCUGAAACACGUACUGUUCCUGAGUACAGCAGAUAAUCAGUUUAAGAAAAAAGAGGAGCAUAAUCAUAGCCCAUGGCCUUAGUUACAACUCCCGACAUAUGUAAAACAUCAUUUUGUUGACAGAAGAUAAAAUUGAUCUCGUGAUAAAAAAGAUGAUGAGAGUAUUAUAAAGUAUGGAACCAUGACCUGCAUUGAACAGCUUUACUUCAGCCUUUGGAAACAAACAGGCAAUUGAUAUCAUAAAAUAAUUCUAGGAUCUGGGACAAACCUUUGAAAUAGCCUUUUCAUCUUGUUUUGUAGAAGCAAUCAUGUGAUGGUCAAGCAAAUGCUCUGGUAGGUUAUCCUGAUUGGUUGUCUGCACAAUCAUGAAUAGAAGGGCAAUAAAAAAACUCAGUAAGAAAGUAGAACAUGAUAGAAAAUGUAUUAUUAGUAAGAGCAAAAACAAACUGGAAAUUUAGAUUACUCACAGGUUCGUGAUAAGAAAAUCAUGGUGGUAUCUCCAAUGCACUUCCAUAUGUUCAUAUAACACUGAAAAUACAAGGAAUGAGUUUAGAACACUGCUUAAUUAAUCAGAUAUUCAUGAAUGUUGUUAUGUUAGGCUCAAGACAAAUUGAUUGUUAGACAUACUGUUUGGUACUUGGGCUUGCUAUAAGAAAUAAUUGUUUCCUCUCCACUGGAAAGAGUUACAAUCUGCCGAGCACACUUGGCCUCACUAUUAAGGACUUUGUGGUAUCAAUGCAUAAUAAUCAUAUUAGACGGAAUCCCACGCUAGCUAGUAGAUGAAUAGCAGGAAUCCCAUUAGCCAUACAAUCAGUAUGCUGGCAUCCAUGGGCUUUUUUCUGCUCUAAGGCAUCCUACAUAUUCGGGACAGGUACAAGUGCCACCAAGAAAGUCGGGCAUGGCCACUUACCCAGCAUCAAUUAUUUCAAGCAGGUUACUUUGAUAUUUAUUCCCAAGUAUCUGAAGAAACAGAAGAGUGCCUUGUACCUGAAGCAAGUGCAGCCAGCGGCGAUGGGGAUUACCAAGUGGUAGGGUCGUGGCUGCAUCUGCCCGUCUCCUUCUCCAUCACCCAGCACGCUUCUCUUCGUUCCGGUCAUCAUGGUGGCGCAGCUCCUGCUGUUGUCCUCGUCGCCAUGCUGCCGGGGUAGAGGAGGGGGAGGGAGGUAGGCGGCGCACUGCUCUCGCCGCGGUGGGCGCAUACGAGAUCGGGAGAGGAGAGAUGAGGCCGGGAUUGGGAUGGCGGUGCAGCGAUGAACUCCAAUACAAUCAAGAUUCGGGUGCGGCAAUGUCGAUCUCGUGUUCUGAAGUUUAAGGGGAUCGAAUACCUUUUGUAGAACGGGCGAAGGAUUCCAUGGCACCCCAUUGCUCGAGUUCGUCUCGGAUUUGGGAUUGUGCCGUGUGGGAAGUGGAGACGGCUUUUGUAGAACGGGCGAAGGAUUCCAUGACACUCCAUUGCUCGAGUUCGUCUCGGAUUUGGGAUUGUGCCGUGUGGGAAGAGGAGACGGGUUGUGGGGGAGUGCAGUGAGGGCGGCGGCGAGCGCUUGGAAAGGAGAGUCCGCGUCCACGGCUAGGAAGAGAGAGGGCCACGUGACGGGGGAGAGCAGCGGCGGCGGUGGCAUGGAGAGCGAGCGAGGCUGGCGAUGAAGGGGAGGAGUUGGAUCGGGAAUUCGCGGAGGAUGCGGAUCGAGCGGGGCGAGGAAGAAGAGUUAGGGGAGGAAGGAUCGAUAGGCGAUAUGUGCGAGACAGCGAGAGGGAGAGGGGAUAGGGUCGGGCCGCGUGCGAAAGUUUCGUGUAACAUCCCAAUUUUUAAAACCCUUCAUAUGCAUUGCAUUGCAUAAGCAUCAUGUCACCUUUGCAUUUAAUCACAUUUAAAACCCUAAAGGUUAACUCAGAAAAACCCAUUAACAAAAUGUGCUUUUAUUUGAAUCUGUCUUUUCACUCUUCUUUUGUCAAUUGCAUUUUAACUCAUGAGGGUUUUGGCAUAAAAAGGGGUUUAAUGCAAUGUUAAUGCUACCCCAUAUCUUGGUUUUUGAAUUGGAUUUGAAACACUAAAUAUUUUAAUAGCUAAAAAGCUUUAAAGGCUAGUUUAUAGGCAAAAGUAUUUUUAAACAUUUUAUCUUGAGGGAAUUCUUGUCCCAGAGGUUAAAUCAUAUGAAGAUAUGCUUUUACAAAUUUUGUUGCAUUUUAUUUGGUUUGAUUUGGAGCUUUGAAUCAAAAGUUGUAUUCAAAAACAGGAAAUAGAAAAGAAAAUGAACAAAAAAACAGAAACGGCCGGCCCGGCCAAAUGGGCCGAACCGGCCCACUUACCCCCGCACUCCGAGCCAGGCCGCAGCCCGCGCGCGCGCCCGAGCCACUGACGGGCGGGCCCCACCCGUCAGAACCAUCUUCUUCCCCAACUGCCGGCCGAGAAUCCCGGCCACAAACCCGAAUCCACACCCACGAUUCCACCCCGAUUCCUCCGCACACACGACCCCAUCUCCGAAGCCGUUCGCGUCAUGUUAAAGCCCUCGAUCUCCUCUAGUUUUCCCCCCCUCCUCUCUCGCGCGAUUCGCCCCCAGGCUGCUCUAAUUGCACGCCGCCUUUUCGCCACUGCCGCCGCCGUCUUGAGCUUGCCGCCGACGAACCCCUAAGAGGUAGCCGACGACGCCUACCCCUUCCUCCUCCUCUUCCUCUUGCGCAGUUUUUGACGCGAUCACUUUUUAUUUUGGAGCACCGAAGGCCGUCGCCACCAAGCUCGCCCGAAGCUCACCGUCGGUGCCACCAUUUCUGUCAUCCUAGGCCUCGUCUCCGUCCAUCCCGGGCAAAAGCGCGGCCACCAUCGAGUUCGCAACGUCAAGCCGCACCCUUCCAUUCCUUUCCCAAAGCCUGAGGCUCGCCGGAACGCCCACACCGCCGUACCCGAGCCACCGCCGCCGCCUCGCCUCGCCAGAGAAGAAAGCCACCACCGGCGGUAAGCCCUAGAUCCGUUCCGUCCGUCCGAUCUAGAUCCCACGUCCAGGAAUAGAUCACUUACCGAAGGGGUAUGGGCCAAUAUGGACUGCCCGAUCUUCUUUAAAUCCGACGGCCUUGUUUUAAUCCCUACCCGAACCGGUACCGGCUAAUGAGAAAGUGCCAUGUGUCACCCUUUUUAAUAAAACCUUUUCUCGGCCGAAAAUUAAAUGGUAACUUUGCAGAAAAGCCUCCGAAACUUCAAAUGCUCAUAUCUUUUAAACCGUUUGGCCAAAAAUUAUGAUCCGUAGCUUUCUGGAAUCCUCACAACUUGUAGAUUCUUUUGGCACUGUCCAAAUUUGAAUUUGAAUAACUUUAACAGAAGCAAAUUACAGAAUGGUUAACUAUGGUUUGUAAUACAUAUGAAUUGUUUCAAAAAGAUUUUGAACCUGCUAGCAUGUUGUAAAAUGUCUAAAGGUUACCCUCUGUCCAUUAGGAUCAAAGAGGAAAAUAUUUUUGUAAAUAAUCUUGCCAGACCAAAUUAAUCUUGCUCUAUGCCUUAUAAAAAUCAAAUAAGCUUUUAAUUAAAACUCACCUUUGUUUCGUACAAGAAAAUAUUUUCUUAUUAGUGUAUAAUCUGUCCAAACCUUUUGUAAAGCUCCUUAAAACAGAAGUUAAACUUGUUAAGUUUAAAACCAACCUAAGUAUGCAUCAUCAUAACUAUUGCAUCAUGGCAUGUUUUUGUAUUGAAUGGCAUGUUUAUGUGUGUGUAUUCUUUUAUUUUAGAUUGUUUGGAGUGUGAACCUUGUUGUUGUGAAGAGUGCGAGAACUACCACAACUUUGGACAAGGCAAGUUCAUUUUGAUCAUCUCUCAAAUAUUUUUACUAUGCACUAGUUGCUUUAUUAGUUGCAUUAGAAAUAUUAUUUGUAUCUCUACGCUAGUUACAAAUCCUAGGUAGUAUAGUUUUACCCUUGCCAUUACCAUGCUACCAAUUUGCCAUCGAUUGUAGUUCAAUGCUAAGCUAUGGUAGUAUCGUGGGGGAAUUAUUACAUUAUGAUAAUGUUAUGUUUAUGGGAAAUGAGAUGUUUUAUUAGAGUAAGGCAAAACAAUUAAUUUAAUGAACCAUCCUGGGUGGACGGCUUUGAGGUUUUAGAUGUUAUGCGACGUCAGGUUCAUUUCUAUGGGACCAUUUCUAUGAGUCGUCUCUCCGUGGAUUCGGGAGCGCCUGCGUCGCAAAUGUGGAAUGCCACAUAGGGUAACCGAGACUGGACUAGUUUCCUAUUUAGUAGUUUCCAGUACAACCACAUGCUAAAUGGGCUCUGGCGGGAUUGAGUAAGUUCUUAAAUUAAAAUGAAUGGUUUGAACUUGGGUUUAUGAGCAUUGAUAUGUCUACUCAAUGUCCUUAGUUUAAUAGGAGUAUGGGUGUGUGUACCCCAUGUCCAAUAGUGACAAAACUAUCUUGUUUAAAAUGAUAGGAUGAAACAAAGAUGCUUUUAUGCAAAUAGCCUGACUCCACCUUGCCAGAUUAUGCAUGUACUUGGUAGGUUCUGAUAUAACUCCUAGUGAUCUUACCAAUACAUUCAAUGUAUUGACCCUAGUGGCUGCAUCGUUUGAUGAUGCAGGAAGCUCUGACGAAGAGUGAGGGUACGUUUUUGCCUUGGGGUUACGGGCUUACAUUCCAACAUGCUCUCACCGUGGUGUUGAUGUAGCCCUUGUAUCUUUCGCUUUCUGCUGUUGAACUUUUGUUUUAAUUCGGGCUAACCCAAGUGGUUAUGCCAGUUUGUAAGUAUUCUUAAAUUCCGGAUACUGCGUUGUAAAACUUGAGACAUUUGUUUUACGAUAUUACAUCUUGAAACUGUGUGUGCUAGUGAGUCGAUCCAGGGACUAGCACUAAAAGCACAGAGAUCCAACCCUUGUACGGGGGCAGUCGCUUCAGAUGGUAUCCGAGCAUUGUGUUGCCUGUAGGAACGUGACCCUAGCAUGGACUAGACCAAAAGAGACCCUAGGAUUCUUCUAUGCAUUGCAUACCCCUUUGAGUUUGCAUAUUGAAUUUCAUUCAUGUUCAUCUACACUUGCAAAUCAUAUCAUUGUUUAAUACAUACAUAUUGCAUGUGUUUUACUUCAUAUUACACUUGCAAUAUUAUCCCUUCACAUGCAUUUUCAGACUUUGUAUGCAUUUAUAUCAAUUUCAUACUACACUGUCAUGUUUCCACCGUUGCAUUUAAUCUUCAUGUUUGCAUAACAUACACACCACCUUGUCAUUGUUAUCUUUAUGCAUUUAUCUACUUGAGCAUAUAACUGAUUCUCUCCUUCCACCAAAAAUCUUGUAGAUGAAACAACCCACCGAAUUUUGGCGACGAACCUCCCUUCACUCACGUCAACUACCCGACGACCGAGGACGACAUCCCCUUCGAAAGGCAGUUGGCGGUGUUGUGCACGACGCUGCACCUGGCAGCACCUUGCUUCCGAGGACACGCCGAGCCGGUGGGAUCUCAGGGAGGAGCACGCCGCUGGGAGAUUGAGACCGAGAUCAAGGGACGGGCAGUUGUUCCAAUGACGCCCGACAUCAUCUACUCCGUGCGCUACCCCGACUUCAUGCUAGGACUGCAGUUCGCUAUGCAGCACGCGAUAGCGCGUGUGUGCGAGGCGUACCACGACGGCCUGCCACAGGACUCCGUCUUCCAUAGCUUCGGGAGGCGAGUUGUUGGCGGGGAUUCCGUGGGUCCGUACGUCCUAGGAGAGGACCCACACAUGGAGGAUGUCUAGUUUGAAGCAUUGGAGCGGAACACGAUGGAUAUGGGGAAGUGCCUCUACAAUGAGAUGACCCGAGCGGACAUCGCUGAGGAACAGGUGGGAGUACUCAAGGGACAACUGGCACAGCAAGCGACUGAGCUGACUCGCAGGGGGACCGCCAUCCUGAACAUGCACGAAUUCAUGGAGCACAUCCUGUACGAGAAGGACCUUCUGCAGUUCAACUUCGAUCAGCUCCAAGCUCAAGUCAACGCCGCAGCCCCUGCACCUGCACCUACACCAGCACAAUCUCCGCCACCCCCUCAGGAUGAGGAGAUGGAGUCACAGGAGGAGCCUCAGGAGGCGCAGGAGAUGGACACUCCCGCCACCAACACCCAUUCCAGGGUGAGGACCGCCAGAGCCAUCAACUUCGUCGCCCUUCCUUAGACUCAGUUCGGAGCCCGCCAAACUAUUUAUCUUAUUAUAUUUUGUUAAUCGUGAUAGUCAUUGACCAUGCCGUCUUUGUGGUAUGGCAAUGUAGAAACUCGUGUGUUUCUUUGCUUGCAACUAUUUGCUUACAUCUUAGGCUUGAAUGACUUGUGAACUACUUGCUUUUGGAUUUAAUGCUUAGUGGUUGUGUUACUCGUUUGUGUUUAAAUUGCUAUGCUUGUGAUAUGCUUGCUUUAUAUGAUUGUUAUUUAUAUGCUUGUGUUGUGGGGUUUAGUAUUUCUUCCUUAGAUCCUGUCUAUUUGUUAUCCUCAUCUAUGCUGUCCCAAAACAGAUGCCGCCAAGACGUGAACCUCGCAGUAAUGCUGCCGACAACAAUGAGGGGCAAGACAACAAUGCCGCCACCAUGCAACAACUGUUAGCAGCCCAAACCCAGAUACUGCAAGCACUCACCCAGCAGAUGAACAACAAUCAGAACAACAACCAGCACCACAACCCACCACCUCAAGUCGACAUGUUAACCCGUCUUCUGAGGUUGCGUCCACCUACUUUCACUAGCUCUUCUGAACCAAUAGUGGCUGAUGAUUGGCUUCGUUCUGUGAGCAAGUGCCUAGUAACUGUGGGCUGCACCGAGGCAGAAAAAGUGAGGUUUGCCGCUCACUUACUCGAAGGAUCCGCCGCAACUUGGUGGGAGACUUAUCAAAUCACCGCCCCCUUGGAAGAGGUCACAUGGGAGAUGUUCCAGAACGCUUUCCGCACCGCCCAUAUCUCUACGGGCGUGCUGAGCCUGAAGAAGAGAGAGUUCCACAAGCUGAGGCAAGGGAACCGCACAGUGUCGGAAUACAUCGAGACAUUCAACAAACUGUCUCGCUACGCUCCUAAUGAUGUCAACACUGACGCCAAGCGUCAUGAGAGGUUUUUGGAUGGAUUGAACGACGAGCUGGCCGUUCAGUUGGCUGUUGUCUACAUACCUACUUACCAGUCUCUGAUGGAAAAGGCUAUCAUCCUAGAGAAUAAGCAGAACCAGAUGGAGAACCACAGGAAGAGGCCUCACCAGGGAAAUAACCACACUGGUUCACACCAGAAGCCGCGCACCUCUUAUGAGGGUAGUGGCAGCUCCUCGAUGGUCAAGCAUGGAAACCACAACCAGAAUCACCAUGGAGGAAGUGGACAUCACCGCGCCAUGGAGGACAAGGACACAACCACCAGGAAAACAAUGGCAACAGGCACCACCAGCAUCACCAGCACCAACACUCACAUCCGAGGAACAACAAUGGGAAUGUCAAUGGCCGAAACAAUGGAGGCAACCCAGGACAAAACCGCAACACCAACAAGGACCUGAGACAGGUGGAAUGCUUCAAGUGUCACAAGAUGGGACACUACUCCAAUGACUGUCCCGAAAAGUUCAACGAGGCGAGAAACAAGCCCAACCCGUUCCAGAAGGGCAAUGUGAACCACAUCAACGUAGAAGAAAUCACGGAGGAGCAAGGUAUCGUAAUCGGCACAUUCCGCCUUAAUACUUUUGAAGCACUCGUACUGUUGAUACUGGUUCAUCGCAUUCUUUCAUCUCAAAGAGAUUUGUGCAUAGAAAUGGGUUACCAACUAGUACCUUAGUGAACCCUAUGAAGGUGAAAUCACCUGGGGGAGAGAUGAUAACGGAUUAUAAAUGCCGACUAUUGGCACUAGAAAUUGGGAAACACAGCUUCCCCACAGACCUGAUAGUGCUAGGAUCGAAAGGCUUGGAUGUAAUCCUAGGAAUGGAUUGGUUAGCCAAGUAUGAAGGACUCAUAGAUUGUGUCAGGAGGACAAUUACACUCACGACCCCAGAGAAGAAGCGAAUCCGCUUCAAGUCAACCUAUGAACUUGAGAAACCCAAGGUAAAUUCUCUUAAGGGGGUUAGCCUAGAGGAUGUGCCGAUAGUGAAAGAAUACCCGGAUGUGUUUUCAGAGGAAUUACCAGGCAUGCCACCUGACCGUGAUGUGGAAUUCCUUAUCGAGUUACUGCUUGGAAGCGGACCUAUAGCCAAGAGACCGUAUAAGAUGGUUGUGGAUGAGUUUAAGGAACUGAAGAAGCAACUCGCAGAGCAGUUGGCAAAAUGAUUUAUUCGCCCUAGUUCAUCACCCUGGGGAGCGCUUGUUCUAUUUGUGAAAAAGAAGGACAAGAGCUAACGGAUGUGCAUAGAUUAUCAUUCACUAAAUUAGGUGACGAUAAAGAACAAAUACCCCUUACCUAUAAUCAAUGAUCUAUUCGAUCAAUUGAAAAGAGCCUGUGUAUUCUCAAAGAUCGAUUUUCGAUCGGGUUAUUUUCAGUUAAAGAUCCAAGAAGCGGAUAUAUCCAAGACAACCUUUACCACUAGAUAUGGCCUGUUUGAGUAUACGGUGAUGCCUUUUGGAUUGACCAAUGCACCGGCAUACUUUAUGAAUAUGAUGAAUAAAGUGUUCAUGGAAUAUUAGGACAAGUUUGUCGUAGUGUUCAUCGACGACAUUUUGAUUUAGACCUGAGAAGAACAAAGCUAUCGACAUAACAGAGGAGAGUAUGAUACAACCCCUCUAUGUGAAGAUGUACAACUCACAAAUUGAUGUAAGGCAGGUUGGCGACAUGCCUUAAUGUGUUCAUUGCGGCUAUGAGUAGUGAAAGAUGCUGUCCUUGUAAGACCUCGGGACCGAAAUUAUGCAAUUUAGCCCCAAAUUGCUAACCUUUGCAUAAUUCAAGCCUCAGGUUCUUAACCUAUAUGAUAAACACUUCAAUACAUACAUGCACUAAUGUGCUCAUCGUAGGGUUUUGCAACAUGAAUAUCAUUACCAAAACUCUACAGAAGAGAGUAAUUGCAAAGCUCAUACAAGGAGCAGAAUAACAACUAUUACAAACAGAGGACACAUGUCCCAACAUUACAUCAUUAGCGGAAGUUGAAUUAUGUCCGAGUACGGACAAGAAUACAGCACGGCCUGAAGAGAAUGGAAACUGGAAGGAAACCCGGCACAAGUCUCAGAACUCUGAUCUGGAUCUCAUGGCUAAACAUUGAAUCCAACGUCGUGCUCCACGAAUAACGACUCACCUGCUCUACUGGAACCUCUGAAGAAAACAACGUUGCAAUGCAACUGAGUACAAAGUACUCGCAAGACUUACGGAGAGAUCUAAACUAGUUAUGCAACAAGUCUCAAGGAAUGGAUAUGGUGGGGUUAUGCAGCAACAAGGACGAUAUCUGAAGAGACACUCUAAUAACAACGUCUACUUAGAGGAAGAGAAGCGUCUACCAAGCGCAAGCGAUCUUCUAAUGACUAACACCAAGCAAACACCACCUCUUAUCACCCCCUCAACCCCUUGUGAGUAAACGAUCCAAAGGCACGCACACGUUGACAUCUUGAAAGAACACACCUAUAUGAGUUCGACUAUCUAACGCCGCAGUCUAUGAGAUGUGGGUGAUCUCCAGUAACUCAUGAAUAGACCACGGAGUACGACGCAUAUGCUCCACCCGCGGGGUAGACUACUGAUAGCCCAGUACUAGUUGACUUUGAGUGAAAUCUAUUUCACGCCAGCUUGCAAUUUAAGGUUUAGUCCAUUGUGAGUGUGGAUGGAUAUAACUUAAAGUUCUAGGCAGAAGUUUAACUUAACAGUAUCUACUGAAACACUAGUAUAUAAACAAGUAGCGAGAUCAGACAAAUCUCUAAAUGGGUAUUUGAGGGAUUGUUAGAAUUUGGUGGGCCUGAUCAGCCCAAGCCCAAGUUUUAAUAAAUUCUGAAAAUCUCAAAAGCCCAUUCAUGAAGUGGGAUGUGGGGAGUGGGAAUAGUCCCACCUUGCUAGUUUAGAGUGACUGAGACCAACAUAUAAGGGAUGUUGCUUCUCACCUAGUAAGCAAGUGAGCAAGAGAAAUCCCCACGCGCGCUCCUCCUCCUCCUCCGCUCGCCUCGCCUCGCCUCGUCACACGACGCCUCGCGUCGCGUGGAUCGAGUUCGAGGCCGAGGCCGUGACGUGUCGGUGCGGGGCUUCCUAUCUUUUUGUCACGCGCGUGAGGUAUUUUUGGAAUCUGUUACGGACGCGUGCAUAUUUUGUGGAGUCGGUUUAGGUUUUCUAAACCUAACCGACCUAUACCCGUGUAACAGCCCGAGAGCAACUUUUACAUUUAAGCCCUUGUUUGGACCUGUUUGUAAUUUAUUCAAAUGCUGCAUGACAAUUACAUUUGCAUCCAUGCCAUGCCUUGUCUGUUAUUUGUGUCACAUGAGUUUUAAAUUUGCAUCUCAAAUUGUGGUUUGAAUUCUUGUUGUGUGAUUUUUGUUAGAAGAUUCAAAUAUGAAUCACCCUCCUUUGAGUUUGAAUUCUUUUCCUCUAUUUUUCAAAUGAGAUUCAAAUGGGUUUUGUUUUAAACCUUUACCCCAUUUGAAUAUUUCCAAAUAAUAGUGCCAUAUUUGAAUUCUUCUACUUCUCAACCUUUCAAAAUGGUAUUUGAAAUUUGGAUCCAAAAGCAUUUGCAAAAACAGACAAUAGAAAAAGGAAAAGGGAAAAACAAAAACAAAACCUUAUCUGCUUGUUUGGCCCGAGCCGGCCCAGCCGCCUCAGCCCGCCUUCCCCGCGCGCCGCGCAGCCCCGCCGCGCGGCCCAGCCUUUCUCCUCGCGCGCGCGGCCCGCCAGCGCUCGCUGCCCAGCUUCCUUCGCGCAGCGCCCGCGUGCCGCUUUCCCGCAGCGAAAGCGCAUUCUCCAAAAUACGCCUUGUCUCACAGCUCUCUCUUCUACCUCUGCUUUUCUUCCUUCCGACCGGUGAGCCCCCCCGGCCACGUCCUCUUCGACAGCGACAGCCACGCCUCCGCCUCGCCUACAUAAGCUGCGCCGCACCUCCUCCUGCCCGCGCGGCCUCUAGGAAACCCUAGUUAGGGUUUCUCCUUCCCCUUCUGCGCAGCGCCGUCGCCCCGCUCCUUCGGCCGUGGAUGCCACUACGUCACGCCACCGCCUCCGGCCGAACGGUGGCAAGCCGACCGUGUCACCCGAACCGCGUCGUCGCCUGAUUCGUCUGCGUGCGAGGAAUUGGACGGAGGGCACCUACAUCGACGCGUAGGUCGUCUUCCCCAUCUCCGGCCACCGCCUCUUCUCCGACAAAUUUCGGCGAGGUCGUCGACUCUUUCCUCGUCAGCUUCCUCCUGAAGAUCCGGGGUGAGAUGCUCUUCCUCCUGCCUCUUUUCGCGCCGCUUUUCAUGCACCGUAGCAUCGUAGCCGCGAGCGCGCACUCCGCCGUGCGCCGGCGAGCUUAGGCUCGUCGCCGCGCCGUCGCCUCCUUGAGCAUGUUGAGGUGGCCUUCGCGCCACUUAGGGUAGAUCCGCGCGCCGCUCUCGUUUUUGCCGCUAGUUGGUGCACCGCCAUGCCGUGUGGUCGUCGCCGGCGACGCGCCCCGCGGUGGCCUCCGUGCGUGGCCAAGCAGCCGUCUUGGCUUUGUUCAAAAGGGCUUGCGCCCUGGACCUUGUAAGAUCCGAACCGCAGCCCGCCUGGUUACCUUGCUCGUCCGUUCGCUUCACACCGACCCGACCCGGGUUUGAUCCCCCGCGCCGCGCGGAAUAAAAACCCCCCCUUUUUAGCCUCUGUCCGAGACUGACAGGUGGGCCCGGUCAGUCAGCGAACGCGGGCUCCCAUCCGCGUCAGCGCCACGUCAGCUAGGUUCCGGCCCCGCUUGUCAGUGAUCGUGGCUAGCUCCCCUUCGAUGUAAAUUGUUUUGCCUGUUUGUUUUCUUUUAUAAAAUCUCAGAAAAUGCUUUGAUCUUGUUUUAUUUGUAUAAUAUUCAUUCUAGGUCCAAAUAAUACAAAGUCUAUGUGUUUUAGAAUCAGAAAAAUGCAAGGAAUUUAACUGUGCAAUUGGAAUUACAUUUUGAGGAACAGAUUUGAAAUUCAAACGUAUGAACUUGUUUAGUCUCUAGUUUAAAAUUGGUAACUCUUCUGUAAUUAGUGUAAACAUCAUAGUUGAUCACUGUAACUUGUAGAACACAGUAGCAUACCUGGCUAAGCUAUUUGUGUAUUUCAAAGCUACCGUUUACCAUGUUCUAAUCACCUAAUGGUUAACUUUGUUGCUAAAUGAAAUCAUUUCACUUGCAUCUUGUUGCAUCAUGUUGUCACAUGCCAUCUCAUGUUGUAUUGUGCAUUGCACCUAUGAAUUGUUACUUAUUUGCGUAUUGUGUGAUUUGGAUCUUUACGUUAGUGACUCCGACUUACUCCGUCGACGAUCUGGGUUCCCACACUUCUUCGGAUCCCCUCUCUCGGUGCCCAGCGACCGAGAAUCCAGGCAAGCAGCCAUUCCUUGAACAUGUUGAUUAUACCAACGCCUCUCUCUCAUUCUUGCAUUAAGUUACGUUCUCGGUUCUUGUCACGAUGCCUCUAGGACUGCAUAGCUUUAGUCAGCUCUACUAAAAUGCCUGUUGUCUUGUUCCUUAUCCUAUUACCAUGUCACAUGUUUGUUAUUGUCCUAGUUGGUCAUUAGAAGUCUGCUUAGAUUGCUAGUCUAGUGUCCUUACUUGGGGUUACACAAUUGCUACAUCCACAUGCUACUUUUCUGUAUUUAAUUGCAAUUAUUAAACUGUGACCUGUUAUUACCUGCUCAAGGCAACGAUGGGAGGCCGUGCUAACGCAUUGGUGUUUUGUUCCAUUGGAGCCGACCUAAGGACUGAGUUCUCGUUUUCGCCGACCCAAGAAACUUCGCGCUAACCGCUCGUGGGAGAAUAUAUGGUUUCUCCCUCGGCUUAGUACUUGUUUCAUAGCUCUUCCAGGGGCCACAUAGUUCGGGCGUUCCAUUUGGCAUAUCGCAUAUACACUGGUGUUGUGUCUGGAGACUUGUUGUCACUUUGCAUACAUAUAGGACUGCGGCACACGUCUGGAGUGGUUAUUCUGCAGACACUGAACCACUACCAGCUGUUCCCACAACUCUUGAGUCCGUACGACGCUUCGGCCGGGUUCUCGUUUCGGAUUAGACUCAGUUGGGUGGUUCCCUGGAUUAGUUGUGGGGUUUGGAAACGUCGUGCCGCUCAAUCCUGCCGGCACAUGUUUUUGCGUGUGUUCCAUGCUAGUGGCAUCAAGGGUUGGACGAACGUGUACGGGUAAAUUGGCACACCCUGCAGGGAUAAAUCUUUCGGAAAGCCAUGUCCGCGGUCAUGGACGACUUGGUUGGUCAUUACUUGAUCAUAGAGAACUCAUACCAAUUAAUUAACUUAACCUCUUAAACUUGAGUAGUAAUUAGCCUUAAUCAUGGAUAUGCCUAAAACUGCUUCAGUGUGAGUGCCUUUGGAUUAUUUCCUCACAAGGGGUUGAAGGGGUGAUAAGAGGUUGUGUUUGUUUGGUGUUAGUUGUUAGUUCAUCACCUCACUUGGUAGACGCUCCUUAUCCUCUAUCUAGACGAUGUCUUUUAGCGAGUCUCUCCAGAUAUAUCGCUGCUGCAUAACCCACAUUUUAUCCAUCCUUUGAGACUUGUUGCAUAUCUAGUUUAGAUCUCCCGUAAGCCUUGCGAGUACUUUGUACUCAGUUGCGUUGCAACGUUGUUUUCUCCAGAGUUUCCAGAGGAACAGAUGAGUGGUUUCUUCGUGGAGUUUGAUGACGACAGCUUCGACGUUUAGCCAGAAGAUUCCAGAGCAGGGUUCUGAGAACUUGUGGUGGCUCUCCUUUUCCAGUUUCAGUCUCUUAGGCAAUAAUUGUAACUUGUCCGUACUCGGGCCUAUUUUACUUCCGCUGAUGUAAUGAUGAUUGUGGACAUGUGUCUGUGAGUUGUAAUAACUGGGUAUUUUGCUCUAUGUAUGAGCUUGACUUAAUUCUUGUGUCUUAGAGUGAUGUAAUGAUAUCAUUGUUGUUCCUACCUGUGGUGAACACAUUGCGUGUAUGUUGUGAAGUGUUCAUCGUAGGGAGGCACUGGGGCUUGAUUUACGCGCUAGUUAGCAUUUGGGGCUAAAUUGCAUAAAUCCAGUCUCGGGGUCUCACAACCUGCGUGACUAUAUAUACAGCGGCCCCAUCCCUCCGAUCGGCACGCAACACAACCAGGUUAGGGUUUCGCCUCCAUCUCGCUCUUGCGCCGUUUUCGUAGUCUACUCCAUUUUGAGCGCCGGCGUGCACCGGCGAACGGGAGAGCAGGUCUCCGGAACCUUUCGCCUUUGCGAUCCUAUACUAGAGAGGGAGAAUAAGGUUUUUGGGAAGCGCUCCGCGCGACUGCUCGCUUCCGUCACCACCGGUCGUCUACCGUCCAAGUCGCGCAGUGCUACGUGCCGCCGUCUUCGUCGCCAGGAACGUCGUCAACUCAACUCGAUCGCCAUCACGGGUUCUUCUUCUUCAUAGAAACAGUACGUAAUCCGUGAUCCGAUCUAUAAUUUAGCUAUGAUCUACGAGUUCAUAUUGUUGUUCGUUGGGCUAUUAAAUACUUCUAGUAUUUUUUAGAUGCAUGUUUUAGUAGCUUCUGUCGUCAUGAUCUAUAUUCUCGAAUUACUCAUUCAAUUGUUAUUCUCGAAAUUGUUUAAUUUUCCAACAUACGCUCUUAAAGAUAAGAACUUAUCUUAAUGAUUUAUUCUUCCAUUCGGUUCUGAUGUGCCACAAACAGAAUUGGAGUUCAACCUCAAUUGGAAAAGGCUACAUGCGUAAAACUUGUCACAAAAUCUUGGGAGCAGCUGAUCACUUGUAGUUCUGCCCCCACCAACCUCGGAUCCACACUGUACAUGAUCCUCCACUCUCUUUUUUUAGAACACAGUACAAACGCAGACGCUCACAACACGCGCAUACACUCACCCCUAUGAACGCACACACGCACAUCUUAUGAACACCUCCGAAAGACUGAGCCGACAGUUCUUGAGAGAUUGAUGAAGUCACCGUUGGCGUCUUGUUGUUGACGGGUCCGCCACUCUUUUUUGUUAUGUUAUGAAUGAAAUCUUUUUUUGUUAUGUGAUGGAUUCUCUUAGUUCUUCUUAUCCCUAUUCGUUGUCUUAAAAAGAAAGCCUAAAAGUUGGUAUUCAGACUUUCUACAAAAGCAUUGUUGUGUUUAUUUCCCAAAACCGGCUUCCUGUGCUUCACCAACAUAAAAACUGCAGCAAUUUUCAUUAAAAUCACCUCUGUUCUGCGCAUAGUGAUAGCAUGAUCCAAAUUUAAUGUAUUUUUGUACUUUGUGUAAGCAAUUUAUUCUGAUAUAUUCAAGUACUACCUAUUUCCUGCUUAUGUUUGGUUUAUGAUACCACAUCAUUACCAUACAUGGUAACCGGAAAUGACAUAAUUAUUUCUAUUUGCAGGAAACUGCAAGGAGGCAUUGGAUCGAACAUAUUAGGCUGCAGUUAUUCUGUCAUAAAAGUACAAUGGAAGUUUAAAUAUUUCCCCUGGCACACCUGUUUGCUUUCUUACAUUGAUUGUUAACUUGAACUUUUUGUGAAGAAGUGUUAGUUCAGCCCUGUAUCAAGCUGAUAAUCCUCUUUUUUUAUACACAUCGUUCCUACUAAUCCAUCUGUCUUGCCUGUGGCAGUUGAAAGCUUCUCGCUGGGUACUGCUCUUCCCGGAGGCUAAUACUUUCUUUGCUAUCCAUUUAUCAUACAUGUUUACUAACUGUGAAUACUGGAAAAGCCACAUUUCUGUAGAUUGCUCUUGCCACACUGCUCAGGUUAACUAUGCAUUUUAUCUGUUAGCAGUUCCAUUUCUUCUCCUUUCUGUUAGUAUUUUCAAUAGAAGUAAUUACUUAUUGGAAAAAUAUAUGAGUUUUUGUAAUGGCUAGAAAACUGAAAAAACAGUGAAGUUUUAAGAGUUGGAAUGCAAGAAUUGUGCAUUGAUUUUGUGUCGGGUAGAGAUGGAAAGGACACAAGCAAUAGGAUGGAAUUGAACAAGUUCAGUCCCUUUCAACGCUCGGGCACUCCACUAGUCAAUUAAAAUACAUGGCUCACAAACACACGUAGCCUGCCCUUUGACCUAUUCGCGGCUAGAUUGCCAGGCAAUUUUCAUUGUUUCCUAAAUUGUUGCUCCAAAAGUCCGAAUAAAUCUUGCUCCCCGUCAAAUUCUCCCUAACUGAAGAAAUAAAUGUUCCUUUAAAAAGUAAAAUCAAUAUUUUCUUGAACUAAAUUAUAACCCGUGUUAUAGACCUUUAGUCAUGUACCUCAGAUUAGUGCCAACCGUUUCUAUAACCUUAACAUUUGAGAAAUGGAGUAGUACCUUAGAUGUUUCUGUGUUGGUUGGGUUGUAGAGUUUUUGACCACAUCAAGGUUUAAAUCAUGUACGCUGGCAUUUAUAUAGACUUCAGCAGUGCCCUAGAGUUUUUUUUUAUCUAUUUACAAUUUUGCACACCAAUUUAGAGGUGUGUGCGCUUCUGGGAUGGUGUACAUGAUGAAAAAAACAAUUUUGUUUAUUUAUGCAUGGUAAUGCAUAUGUAUUUAGUUAUGCCGUAUAUUAAUUAGUGAUCAAAUAAAAGACCCUCAUUGCAUGAUUUCUCUGAACAUGUAAGCAUGCAACCUUAUCAGGACCACCACAUGCAAAUCAUGUCUGCCACCUCAUUAAGUCAUGCAUUUAUAAUUUUGAAGUCAUGCAUGUAUUCAUUUACAUUUUUGCAUUAUUCUAUCAAUUCAAACCACGUCACCUCAUCAAUGCAACCAUGUUUUUUUUUGGAAAAAGUUUUUUCUGCUUAUACAUCAUUUUUGUCACGUACUUAUUAGGUUUUAUUGUUUUAAAAUAUAAAAUAAGAUCAGUUAUACAUCUUUUCCCCUUAGUUUAGUUAAUUUUUAGUAUUUAUUUAUUUGUUUUCACAUGUUUCCGCGGCAACACACGAGUCAUCAUCUAGUAGUAAAAAGAGGCUCCGCACUAUAUAUGUUUGCCCCUUGGGCAUCCAAUGUGCCAUGACAGUCUUGGGGGUCGGGAUUACAGUUAAUGUGGUGUUGCAACCUAGCUACGUACCCACAUACAAACCUCGGUGGACUCGCAGCAAUCGGGACAUGAUUGAUAAGCUGAAACGUCGGUGUUAGCGAGCAGAUGGUAACCGAUGUGUGAGGAGGAGAUUUGUUAGGUUUAAUCCCACGCCAGUUUUUGGACAAGACAUGAAACGACUUAUAAGAAAGCUAGUGUUUUUUUCUAGAGCGGGGGCCUAAAACUUAUUAGACUUUGUUGCCCUUGGGUUAAGCCGGAUAAUGCAUGCGAACCAAAGAAAAAUUGAAUAUACUAGUUUUACGUGAUACCAAGGAGCUCUGUUAUCCUCAACUCGUUGGUGUGUGGUGCUCUUUUUUUACACUAUUUGCAGGCUGGAACAACCUUGUUGGUAAAGAUAAGUUUAUUAGUGGCACUCUCUUAGAUCAUUUCACCAUCCUCCCCACAUCUCAUGGGUUUUGGUCAGCCCUUCUAGUGGAGAGGUUUUUCUUUUUCUUGUGAAGAGCUGUAUUCUUCUCUGGUCAUUUUGUACGUUUUCAAUUUUGUGUGGUGAUAGCUUGAGUUUUUUUUUGGCUAGUUCGGAGUUUGCAAAUGGUUGACUCUCUUUGUAGGAACUUUUGGAGCUUAUUUAGAUUUUUAGAUUUAAUCGUUUUGAUCAAAUGUACGGGCAUGUGGUGUGGUGCAGGUU
rnacentral:lncRNA from 1 species